UCCCUGGUGGCUCAGAUGGUAAAGCGUCUGCCUUCAAUGCAGGAGACCCGGGUUCGGUCCCUGGUUCGGGAA
rfam:TPA: Bos taurus chromosome 28, whole genome shotgun sequence.